AUUGAACGCUGGCGGCAUGCCUAACACAUGCAAGUCGAACGAGUGGCGGACGGGUGAGUAAUGUCUGGGAAAAUCCUCUAUGGAGGGGGAUAACUACUGGAAACGGUAGAUAAUACCGCAUACCAGUGGCUGUGCCCAGAUGGGAUUAGCUAGUAGGUAGGGUAACGGCUCACCAAGGCGACGAUCCCUAGCCGGUCUGAGAGGAUGAACGGCCACACUGGAACUGAGACACGGUCCAGACGCCUACGGGAGGAAGCAGUGGGGAAUCUUCCACAAUGGGAGAAAGCCUGAUGGAGCCACGCGGCGUGUGUGAAGAAGGCCUUCGGGUUGUAAAGUACUUUCAGCAGGGAGGCGUUACUCGCCGAAGAAGCACCGGCUAACUCCGUGCCAGCAGCCGCGGUAAUUC
rnacentral:rRNA from 1 species